AUGCUGGUGCAGAUGUCUUUGUACCCAUGCAGCACACCUGAUCCAGGAACAGUGCCAGAUGAUUCUUCUAGGUACCUGCUGGUGACAAUUAUUGUGAACUCUUCAUCCAGCACAGGCGCUGUUGCAGGGGAAGUCAGAGGACGCCUGGGAGGGUCUGAGCAGGGCUCCUGCCGUGCUGCCUGCUGCCAGAGCAGGAGAGAAAAGGGCUUAGUGUGAUCUUAUUCUGUGACUUGCAGCUGGUUCCAGAGGAUGCUUACCUACAUGCCUGAGUUCUUCAGUUUAUUUUCUGCAUCUUUAAUAUCGAUGAUAAUGAUGUGCAAGAGUAUAUGAACAUACGUCCACGCAAAGCAUGGCCCUCCGACGCAUCAGGGUAGCUCACGUGAGAAAAUAAGCGAUGUUCCCGAUAUUCCAGACGCACUGCUUGACAAAACAGCCUGACCUGUCGCCAUGGAGAGGCCCGGCCCGCCUGCUCCGCUGCCGCCGCUGCUGCCUCCACCUCAAGCGCUAGAGAGCUUCAACGCUAGAGUGUGCUCGUACCUCCCACACCAGCAGCACCACGCAACAGAAAUGAUACGCAGAACUUCACGGCCUCAGCAAAGAGCAAUAUUUGUCUACACGCACUCAUUAAGUUAAAAAAAAGAAAAAAAAGCAGGCUGACUUUGUCCUCCUCCCUAUUUGGGAGAAGCAGCCAGCUGAAAUACAGGCUCCAGGGGACAAUUCUUAAUUUUCUUCUUAAACGCUGGGUUGUUUCUGUGGAAUCCUGCUAGCCCACAGAGUGUCCCAGUGUGGAUAUACAGAGUACAAAUUUAAGGACUGGUUUAAUGAAAUUAAUUAUUUGGAGUGAUCUAGCACAGAAUUAUUAAUUGAUCAUGAUUAAUUUAAUAUAAUUAUUUGAUAAAAAUAUUUGAUAAUUAAUUAUCGGUUGAUUAAUAAUAGCUAUUAUUAUUUGAAUAAUAAUAGCCAUAUUAUUAUACACUAUUAUUAGAAGUACCUGUUACCUCUCACAAUCAGCCUUUGGCAUACUGCACAAGGAGAUUUUAUCAGAAAGUGUUAUGGUUGCUCUCUUGGCCCUGAUUUUUGUUGAGAGGGCCAUCAUAUCUCUCUGCAUGCAGUUACUAACAACUGAACUAUUUUGUGAUAAGGUCUGUGGAAAACACCAUGCAAAAGCCAAAGAAAACAUUGCAUAAACAGUCUCUAAUUCAGUUUUUGACUGUGU
rnacentral:lncRNA from 1 species